UUAUACAAGAAAGUAGAAGAGAAAUAUGGGAAUAAAUUCAAAGAAUAUUUUAUACAUAACAGGAAAAGAUUUUUAGAUGACAUUUUCAUUUUAUGGCCCAAAUCAAGGGAGGAAUUAAACAUCUUCAAUAUAAUACUAAAUAAACUUCAUAAAGACUUAAAAUUCACUAUGCAAACCAGUACGGAUGAACUACCUUUCCUAGAUAUUUUAGUCAAACUGAAAUGAAUAGAAAUUGAAACAGAUAUAUAUUACACACCAACAGUCAGUAAACAGUAUUUAUUGUUCAAUUCGUGUCAUCCUAAACAUACAAAGCAGAAUAUUCCGUUUUCUCUUGCAAGACGCUUAUGUACAAUUAUUUCGAAGAAAGACACUCUACAUCUACGAUUUACGGAAUUGAACGAAUUUCUGACAUCUCAACGAUAUCCUUUAAAACUAAUUGAAAAUGGAAUACAAAGAGCAUUAUCAAUUGAUCAAAAAAAAACUGAGAAAGACCAAGGAAAACAAGAUGAAAAUGUAAUACCUUAUGUAUCAACACACAAUCCGAAAAUUUGGAUUUUUUAACAUAAUGAGAGAAAAUCUACAAUAUUAUAUAACGAUGCUACAAUGAAAGAAAUUAUUUCACAAAAUAAAAUCAAUAAAAGCAAGAGACAACCGGCAAACUUGAACACACUACUGACAAGGGCAUCAUUUACAGAAUCUGCAAGGAAACCAGAAAUAAAGCAGUGUGGAUAGAAAAAAUGUGGACUGUGUAAUUAACUGAUAGAAGGAAAUAAGUAUCACCUCCGAAAUGGUCGUCAAUUCAAUAUAAAAUUUUCCGGCACUUGUGAAAUACAAAAUGUCAUAUAUGCUAUGAAAUGUUCUGGAUGUUCAAAAGAUAAUAUUGGAGAAUGUGUGUGUGUUCGGGUUUAACGUCUUUCUCAACAACUUUUCAGUCAUAUAAACGACGGUGUCUACUUGUAGCAGUGAGCACAAUGCCCAACUUUAUAGUGCUGCCUCACUGGAAUAUCACGCCGCAGACACGUGGCAUGAUACCCUAUCCAGUCACAUUAUACUGACACCGGGCUGACCAGUCCUAGCACUAUCCUCUUAAUGCUGAGCGCCAAGCGAGGAAGCUACUAGUACCAUUUUUUUUAUAUUGGAGAAACGUCUAAUUUAAGAAAUCGAGUAACUCUUCACAACCAACAUAUAAGGAAUCCGGAAAACGCACUUCUACCAGUCAGUCGUCACAUCGCAGAAUGCUCAAAAGAAUUGGUUAAAAAAAUCGUAAUAAUGGCAAUUUAUAAAUUACAAGAAUCAGACAUAUCCAAAAGGAGGAGAAAAGAAAACUUAUUAAUUCAAACUUUUUGUCCAGAACUGAAUGCAAAAUAAUGCAUCAAUAAAGACAUAGUGACGUUCCUUGACAAAAACUCAAAAGAGUAACGUCCCUUAUUACAAUGAAGCGAUGUCGUUACCAAGCGACGUUACCAACGUCAACACGACAGUUUUACUCCUGAAGAUCCCGUAAACGGGUGAAACCGGUCGAGUAAAAUUAUUUUAUAUUAAUUAACUGGAUCAGAAUUAUCAAAUAUGUAAAAAAUAAAGGCAUCUUUAUUUAUCUUUUUUUCGCUAUUGAAUAUCCGUAUUGCCAAUCAAUACAUUUUGGAUACAUAUAUAUAUAUAUAUAUAUAUAUAUAUAUAUAAACCUCCCAAAAUGGCACCUCUAACGAGCGGCUACAUAGAGAUACUUAUAUCGGAAAUGAGCAAUUGCGGCAAAUAUAGGACUUAUUUGUUUGGAGUUUAGUCAUGAAAACCUGAGGAAUGUCUUUAUACAUUGUGUCCAGUCAUUAUGUUUAUCAUGUUUGAGAAAGCUUUAAUUUCUUGUGUGAAAAAUAAUUGAUACAGUAAAAUAGAUAAAAAAUCAGCUCAAUCGACAGAUUAUGGAAAUAAAGGUUAUAAUUGUGAAUGUAAUUGUUUUACCUCUUACACAUGUAUUAGAAUAGAAUAACUGUCUUAGUACCUCCGGUCAACAACCUCCUAGCCUGGGUUCCAGUCUGUCGAUUUUUCAUUUGCUUCUGUCCGGCAAAUCGACACUCAGAAACUAAAACGACCAGUGGCAGCAUUGACGCGCUCAUAUAUAUGAAUAACGCGUAUGUUAUGAAAAAGCCAAAAGUAUCAAGGCCUGAAUCCGAGGCUAACAACCUCCGAACACAGAACAACCCUAAUCUGUCUCCGUCUGAUGUUGCUCUGCAGAUCUUAUACUAUAUAUAAUUAUGUAGAGAUAAUUUAUACGAAUCACCCUCACGAUAAGUAUAACAGAACAGCUACGGUAAACGGUCUAGAAGUACAAAGAAACGUGUAAUUUCCACAACGAAUCAAUUAUCCAUUGAGAUAAGUUUUGAUGCUGCUUCAUAUACAAGGGGUGUGUAAGGGAGUUAGUGGCGCAGUGGUUAGCAGGUUGGACUACAACGCCAGCGGUCCGGGUUCGAUUCCCGGUCGCGGCUGAUAUCCCGACUAGAGUUCUGUGCUGGGUGAUUUACGUGAAUUGGUACUGUUUCCAGCAGUAUCGAUCUAGACUGAAUGCUGGGGAAAUAAAUUAGACGCCUGUCGUGGGCUCGACUGGAAAAUAGUUUUUCCAUCCAUUCCAGGUCCGGACUUCCGUCGAGUACCCACGUUAAACAAGAAACUUUUUUAACUUUACACGUCCUAAUUUUACUACACAUUUCAACUUGUUAAACAACUGCAUGAAUGGUUAUACACAAAUCUCUUUUAUCAUGCCUUGAACGUGGAUUUGUUGAGGAAUAUGCACGCACGUUUCUACUACAGGGCGCCUUAUCGUAAUCGAUCUUGUGUGAUGUGACGGUGAUUGGUUCGUAUAUUUUCUCUCUACCUAUAAUAAUUUAGAAUGCGAACUUAAAUUCUCCCGGAUUUCGAGUAUGGGAUAAUCAACUGUUCUGAAUAUGCACACUAUCUGUUUAGAUUUAUUCUUUCCUCGUGAUCAGGUUGACAUUAGAGUUCGAUCCCCUGAUGAGGGGUAUGUUCUCCCUGACGAUUAGACAAAAUAUAUUCUGUCUGAAACCAUUAGUCGCUCACCUCUGAUCGAAGCGGGGAAGGCUGUAGCUACUUGCGGAGAACAAGUUUGUAAUGGUACAGAAUCUAGAAACUGGUUAGCUUAACUGCCCGCCGUUACAUAACGGAACUAUUGUUGAAAAAACAACGUUAGAUCAAAACAAACAAAACAAAACUUUAUACACUGAUGUUUAUCUUUGCAUUCCUGUUAACUUUCAGAGAGAGAAUACAUAGCGUUUCUGUUCCCAAAUACUUAAAACAAAGAGCUUGGUUCACUAAUGUAUGUAAAUGGCACCGAAUUUAGCCAUAUUAUACAAUACUUAUUCUACAUUGAUACAUAUGCUGCCCGCAACAAGUAAGAACCACGCUUCAAUUAUAAGUAAAUAACUUUAAAAAAUAAUGUGUUGUUAUGUUUAUAUAUUCUCCAAACAUGACCCACUUUUCAAAAAAAUGUGAAUUUUCUAUGAAAUUUGAGACUUUAUUUAUGAUUUUAGCCUUGGCGGCAUCCUUUACCAGUCUUAAUAUUUUAACUACUACUUUGUACAUUAAAAACCAACAAAAAGUGCAAAAAUCCGCCAAUUGUGAGCAAUGCCGCCAUAUUAAAAAACGAAAAAAACGUCCGUCUCCGAGACACAUUUUUAUCCCAAAUGACACAAGCCUCGAUUUCGAUAAAAUGACGUUGAAGUUGACGUCACUUAAUUAGAUAUUUGUUUAAAAUUAAUUUGUUUUUCAAGCAAUAGCCAUUAGUGUUAAAAUCAAUAAUAUCGGACGAAGAUUUUUAAGUUUAAACGGUUUCAACAUUUAGUUAUCGCGCUAGUGAAGUAUCACAAACCUAAUGAGUGAAUUAGCGAAUUGUGUCCCUUUGAAAUCAACACGCCAUUAUCGGUGGAUACAUGUCUGAAACUGGGUCAGAGAAUACAUGCAGUUAUUGCUCUGAAUAUACGCGGAUAAUUAAAAUGCAUGGCGGAUUUAUUAAUUGUUAUGGAUAAACUCCAACAGUAAGAAAUAUAAAGGCUCACUGUAGUUUUGACUAUGCUCAACAAGUAUUGACCAAAUACUAUGUUCAGCAAGUAGGACCCUUGUAUUUUAAGCCAACACAUAAAUGCAGAUUCUUUGGAGUUGUUGUGAAUCCUCAUGCAGUACAGUACUGCUGUUGGAAGAGGAGCAAAUAGUGUGGUAUCUAUGGUCCACCAUCACUUCAAGCAUCAUGGCUAUGGAGAAAAGAAUGUUUCAUUACAUAUGGACAAUUAUAGUGGACAAAAUAAGAAAAGUGUUGAAAUAAGCUAUGGAAUGUGGCUUGUUAUGAUGGGUAUAUCUGAUGACUUGGAGUACAACCUGAUUGAGGCCCGGCAUACAGAAUUCAGUCCUGCACAUGUUUAGAAUGUCUUCUGCAUGACCUGGUAUAGUAUUCUUGAAGGAUUAUAGCUUCAACACAGAGACGGAGAUUAAUAUUUUAGGCAGGGGGGCUGGCACGACAGGCAAAUUUACCAACCGUAUUACCAUUCCUGAGUUGGAUGCCAGUCGACAGUGGUACAUGUAUAAUGAAAUUGCGCCCCUUUGCAGCAACAGCAAUGUAUGCUCAAAACCAUCAGUGCCAAAGCCAUUAACAUUGAGAACUCAAGUCAUUUAAAACGAAGAAUGAAUGGAAAAAAAUGUUUAACAUUUAAAGUAAUACAGAGAUAGAGCUCUGAAAUUUUAAUUAAUUUGAAAGUGUUUUUGAUUUUUUGAAGAUGUACUAGACCCAAAUUCCAUAUAUUUGAAAAAGAUCAAAUGUUACAUAUAGUUUCUGUAAACAUUGAAUUAACAAUGUUAUGUUGUCAACUGUACUAUGCAUUUGUUAAAUUUUGACACAACUAAUACAUGUAAGGCUGAACAAUAAAUGUAACAUAUAUCGUAGUAAUGUACAUUUUUUUCUUUACGACAGUUGGAUUAUAUAGUUCUACGAAUAUUUUCUGCUGUAUUCAAACUGCAUGUAAUCAUUUCAGUCGGCAGUAUCAUGUUCAUUUUCCCUUUUCAUGAACAAUUGAUUUAACCUGUCUGAAAUCAUAAUAUAUGUAUAAUUUGUUAAACAUACAUUGGAUUAUUGUGGAAACAAUUUAGUUUUUGUAUGCCUGAUUAUAUAUUAUUGCCGUUAGUAUCAUCUAACUCUUUUAAUACUAUCAAGACAUUUAAUAAGGCAGUUUUCUAAAUCCAUUACUGUGUGUUGAAUGAGAUUAUGUAGUAUUAUGUUUACUGAAUUAACUGCGUAACCAUGGAAACAUUUUACUAUUGUUCUAUAUUAUGUCUUGAAAAAAACAUUGUUUGAAGAACUCUUUUCAGUGAUGCAUUUUCUUUUACAUGUAAUGGUAAAUGCUGAAAGUGAUCUACAAUAACUUAGCAAAAACGUCAUUGUUGUCUCAUUGAAGCAUAUAUUGUAACUCCAUUGAAACCAUAGCAACAGAAAUACAUUGUAUUAUUUAUGAAUAAUGAUCUUCACAAACAAAUUACAUAUGUUAUUUUUCUAAAAGAAUGACCUAAAUUGGUUUUAUUCCAUAAAAAAACAGACAUAAUAAAUAUUCUUAUUUUUAUCUCCGUUUCCAUGGCAACCAUAUUUUUUUGCCUCAAAUUAUAGGCGUUGCUUAGGGUUAUAUCUUAGCAUAUGUGAAUGUUAAUUAUACGUUCUGAUGUAAUUGUUAUAAGAGAUUUUCCUGUUUC